rnacentral:rRNA from 1 species
CGUCGUGAAGAGGGAAACAACCCAGACCGCCAGCUAAGGUCCCAAAGUCAUGGUUAAGUGGGAAACGAUGUGGGAAGGCCCAGACAGCCAGGAUGUUGGCUUAGAAGCAGCCAUCAUUUAAAGAAAGCGUAAUAGCUCACUGGUCGAGUCGGCCUGCGCGGAAGAUGUAACGGGGCUAAACCAUGCACCGAAGCUGCGGCAGCGACGCUUAUGCGUUGUUGGGUAGGGGAGCGUUCUGUAAGCCUGUGAAGGUGUGCUGUGAGGUAUGCUGGAGGUAUCAGAAGUGCGAAUGCUGACAUAAGUAACGAUAAAGCGGGUGAAAAGCCCGCUCGCCGGAAGACCAAGGGUUCCUGUCCAACGUUAAUCGGGGCAGGGUGAGUCGACCCCUAAGGCGAGGCCGAAAGGCGUAGUCGAUGGGAAACAGGUUAAUAUUCCUGUACUUGGUGUUACUGCGAAGGGGGGACGGAGAAGGCUAUGUUGGCCGGGCGACGGUUGUCCCGGUUUAAGCGUGUAGGCUGGUUUUCCAGGCAAAUCCGGAAAAUCAAGGCCGAGGCGUGAUGACGAGGCACUACGGUGCUGAAGCAACAAAUGCCCUGCUUCCAGGAAAAGCCUCUAAGCAUCAGGUAACAUCAAAUCGUACCCCAAACCGACACAGGUGGUCAGGUAGAGAAUACCAAGGCGCUUGAGAGAACUCAGGUGAAGGAACUAGGCAAAAUGGUGCCGUAACUUCGGGAGAAGGCACGCUGAUACGUAGGUGAAGCGACUUGCUCGUGGAGCUGAAAUCAGUCGAAGAUACCAGCUGGCUGCAACUGUUUAUUAAAAACACAGCACUGUGCAAACACGAAAGUGGACGUAUACGGUGUGACGCCUGCCCGGUGCCGGAAGGUUAAUUGAUGGGGUUAGCGCAAGCGAAGCUCUUGAUCGAAGCCCCGGUAAACGGCGGCCGUAACUAUAACGGUCCUAAGGUAGCGAAAUUCCUUGUCGGGUAAGUUCCGACCUGCACGAAUGGCGUAAUGAUGGCCAGGCUGUCUCCACCCGAGACUCAGUGAAAUUGAACUCGCUGUGAAGAUGCAGUGUACCCGCGGCAAGACGGAAAGACCCCGUGAACCUUUACUAUAGCUUGACACUGAACAUUGAGCCUUGAUGUGUAGGAUAGGUGGGAGGCUUUGAAGUGUGGACGCCAGUCUGCAUGGAGCCGACCUUGAAAUACCACCCUUUAAUGUUUGAUGUUCUAACGUGGACCCGUAAUCCGGGUUGCGGACAGUGUCUGGUGGGUAGUUUGACUGGGGCGGUCUCCUCCUAAAGAGUAACGGAGGAGCACGAAGGUUGGCUAAUCCUGGUCGGACAUCAGGAGGUUAGUGCAAUGGCAUAAGCCAGCUUGACUGCGAGCGUGACGGCGCGAGCAGGUGCGAAAGCAGGUCAUAGUGAUCCGGUGGUUCUGAAUGGAAGGGCCAUCGCUCAACGGAUAA